AGGAAUCUCUCCGUUACCUCAGAGAAUCUGGCCACAAACAGGACUCAGAGUGGAAAUUGCCCAACCUGUCUGCUAUCACUCUCUUGAAAGAGACAGAUCCGAUCAGCAUCUCUCAACUGUGACUCAUGAGGUAUUUUUGGCUAUGUCAAGAACAUUCUCAAACAAGGGCAGCAAAGGACCAUAAGCAAUUCUCCAAUGGUGAAGAUCGACCCCAGUCAUGUAAAAACACGAGGCAACACAUUUCACUUUUGCUUAAGAAGGAUCUUGCAGAAAGUGAAGAAGAGCAGGAAUAGAGAAGACAUUUGAAUGACGACUGAUGUUCUCUUCUUUGGCCUGAGGUUUUAGAACACAUUCACUGCCUGAUCACUGUGGCCCAGAAGCCAUGGCCUCUGCUGAGAGAUAGGGACCCCAUGUUCCCUCUACACAUCUUCUUCCCCAAAGCCUCUCUGAGGCUCCUAUGUUCAAAGAAACAGUCCUCUGGCAAUGGCCUGGUCCUUUCUGCCAUACCAAAGAAAGUUGUUUUUUGUUUUGAGCAAGAGAUCACUUCUGAUUUUCCUACCUUUGACAUGGACCAGACUAAUUGACAAAUUCUAGAAGGACAGACACUUCCAAACGUCUCUUGACAUACUGGCUUCACAAAGGUUAGGAAAGCUGUUAUGGGGAGGACGGAGCCUUUCUCCUCUUCCUGAGAACGUUUGAAGAAGAAAGGGGCUACUGAGAAGUCUGGUAGAUUCAGCAGCUAGUAAAUAUCGUGUCUAAAUGGGCAUCUUUUAUUAAACUCUGAGGCAGGGUUGGUGUGUUAGGCCAUUCUUUCUUGCUAUAAAGAAAUAUCUGAGACUGGGUAACUUAUAAAGAACAGAGGUUUAAUUGGCUCAUGGUUCUGCAGGCUGCACAGAAAGCAUAAUGACAUCUUCUUCUGGCUAGGCCUCUGGAAGCUUCCAAUGAUGGUGGAAGGCGAAGAGGGAACUUGCGCAUCACAUGGCAAAAGCAGGAGCAAGAGAGAGGCGAGGAGGUGCCGCACACUUUUAAAAGACCAGAUCUCAUGAAAACUCACUAUUGUGAGGACAGCACCAAGAGGAUCGUGCUAAAUUAUUCAAGAGAAAUCCUCCCCCAUGAUCCAGUCACCUCCCACCAGGCCCCACCUCCAACAUUGGGGAUUACAUUUCAACAUGAGAUUUGGAUGGAAACACAUUCAAGCUUUAUCAGCCCAGCUCCGGGAGUUCUUAAACUCAUAAGAAUCUAUGAGCUCCCAGAUUUAUGGGCCUUGAAAUAGACUUUAUUCUCCACUACCAUUUUUCGUUUGUAAUUUACAAGUGUCUUAUGGGAAGCGACAUUGAGGGUAU
rnacentral:lncRNA from 1 species